rnacentral:rRNA from 1 species
GACGAACGCUGGCGGCGUGCCUAAUACAUGCAAGUAGAACGCUGAAGGAGGAGCUUGCUUCUCUGGAUGAGUUGCGAACGGGUGAGUAACGCGUAGGUAACCUGCCUGGUAGCGGGGGAUAACUAUUGGAAACGAUAGCUAAUACCGCAUAAUAUUGACUAUUGCAUGAUAGUCAGUUGAAAGGUGCAACUGCACCACUACCAGAUGGACCUGCGUUGUAUUAGCUAGUUGGUGGGGUAACGGCUCACCAAGGCGACGAUACAUAGCCGACCUGAGAGGGUGAUAGGCCACACUGGGACUGAGACACGGCCCAGACUCCUGCGGGAGGCAGCAGUAGGGAAUCUUCGGCAAUGGACGGAAGUCUGACCGAGCAACGCCGCGUGAGUGAAGAAGGUUUUCGGAUCGUAAAGCUCUGUUGUAAGAGAAGAACGAGUGUGGGAGUGGAAAGCGCACACUGUGACGGUAUCGUACCAGAAAAGGACGGUUAACUCCGG